ensembl:lncRNA
UUCUGUCUAUGUAUACAGGGUUCAUACAAAGUGUUUCAAGCACUUGAAUUUGGCUUUUUGAAAUGUCAAGAACCUGGAGAACCUUGAAAAUAGCCAUUUUCUAUCUAGUAGUGCUUAAAAAAUGUUUGAAUUAUAAAAAGUCAUUAAAUAGAACAUUGCUAAAUAACUUCAGUGUUCAUUUUUAACAGAACACAAAUACAACCCUGUCACUCGAACAGAAAACUGUGUAAAUGAGAACAGCUUUAUUGGGAAUUCGGCCGUAUGAAAAUAGAGUGCGCACAGAGAGUAGGAAAGAGGCAAACGGAUGUAAAGUUUGAACACACUAUUUCUCCACCUUUAUUAUUUUUUAUUUACUUCACAGAAAAGAUCUGACAAGCAACUUUAUAAAUUUCUAAGACGACGUUACAGUCAACACCAAGUAGCACAAAGAAAAGUUCAAACAUAAGGGCAGAUAAAAACGUGUCCGUGUUGAACGCACACAUGCUGCUCAUCUGGACUUCAGGACACAUCCGCAGCACCUAGAUAGAAACACAUGGAAAAAUCGAGCCAUCGGUAUAUUGAAUUGACUUCUGGCUUAUUUUUUUGUUACGUUAUGAUACACGAUAUUGGUUGUCGGUCAUCUUAUCCGUUUCAACUCCCUGCCUAAUAAAAAAAAAAAAAAGUCCUCAGUGAGAUUAAAUUGUGAGCAUUAGCUUUAUUUGGAUUCUGAGCAUUAUUUACUAGGUGGGUGUUAAGUCAUGAAAGAGGCUGUUCAUAGAAGAUGUGUCUGUUCCUUGCACAGGAUCCGGGCCCAUGUGGACGCCCUUUGAUCCAGUUUUUGCAAGAGGUUGCUAUACCCCCCUGUUAUGGCCACUAGAAACACUGGCAGCCUCCAGUGGGCAAAGCAUAGGAGGAGAGAUUUAUUAUACAAAUAAAAAUAAAUAAAUAAAUACAUAAGCAAGCUGUCUACAUGCUUUCUAGCUUUGCAUCCAGGAUGUGGAUUUUUGUGCUCUCACACUGGAAUUGGUAGAAGUUUCAGUUCAAGAAUAGUAUUUCCUUGCUACAAAAAAUAAUUUUAUUUAUUUAUUUUCAAAGUGGCUAAAUUAUUGCCAACCUGUAUGAUGUUUAUACAAGCACCUACAACCUUAUUAAUAUCACAGGACGAGGUUCGAUGCCGUAUGUUAAUGAUAGGGGUAUUGGUCAUUUUAAAAGCUUUGUGGAUAGUGCAGUAAUCAAGCUCAAAAUAUCCUCCACCGAAUGCUCUUCGGUUUCACCUUGGUUUCAUGAAUCCUGCCAACCAAUAUAUUCUGGAGGUGAUCAGCUUGCUCACCCGGGCACUUGACAUGGCACGUCAUCUUAUUUUCUCAGCUCGUGCGUUCUUUCAGCUCCUGUAGACAAGGUUUAUAAUUGAUAUCAGAGCGAUAUGAACAAACAUGAGAAAUAAAGAUUUGUUUUAUUUAAAGAGAAAGUUUGUUUCUCCCGACAGGAUCCGAAGCAAGGAAAGAUCAGCCUUUACUUCAGGUUUUUUGAGAGAAUUCUUCUUCCCCCCUGUGUUAAUCAUUUAGGACAUGAGCAGUCUUAAAUGGGCAAUAAAGGGGACGGACACAAAAGUAGAAAACAGCAAUUAAGAAAUGUUAUUGUCGUUUAAGACGCUCACCUCCUGGGGUUUUGUGCUCUUUUCAAACCAGGUGCUUCAGUCGGACACUCCUCUAACCUGCACACAGUAUUAACAUAAUACAUUUAAUGCAUAGAACAAAUUUAAGAGGUACUAUUAUGGGAUUAAAGUGAAGAGUUUGCACCACCAGGAUUCUUAUUCCACUUGGUUAUAAGCAAAAACAUCAAGAGGAAAGCAUUAAUUAUAUAAUUAACCUUUUACUUUUCUCUGAACAUUACACGGAGUAAUCAACAUUUCCACAAUCAUGACAGGUCCAAUCCAGAACAUUACCCCAUUCGUGCAUAAAUUACUUAUACAUAUAUCCAGUUCCUUUAAUUAUUUUAUUUUUUAUACAAUUGCACGGGAUAUAAAUAUAUGAAUAUUUCAAUUGUCUAAACAUGACUUGCAGUAAAAAGUAAAUGGAUUGUCCACGAGUAAAAAAAGGCUUACAUUUCAGUAUGCCUUAAAAUCAUUCACUAAAAUCUCCCAAUGUCUGAAAUGUUGUAACAUUCAGUUCUAAAAAUGUGUAAUGUUGAAGAUAAAUAUUUUAGAAAAUAUCAUUUCUGAACAAUUCUACACACAACAGUUUAGGACUGUUGCAUAAUGCAACAAGGUAAAAAAAAAAAAAAAAAAAAAAAAAAAAAAUCUUCCCAAAACACUAAAAAUAAAAUAACUAGUCCCGUAAUCUCAGUCCAGCACAUAUGCUAAUAUUAUAUUAUGCUAAUAUUAUAUUAAAGUUAGUACAAAGUUUGUGAACGAAAAAUAGUCUGAAGAGCUACAGAGGUUUAUGUUAAUUUACAGUAAUUCUCUCAAGAGAUUUGGAGGCGAUUUACAUCUUAGAUUUUCGUAAAGCAUAAAAGGGAGCAGGGAAAAGAUAGUGUUUUAAUAAAACGUCAAGAACUUUCAUUUAAGCCAUUUGGCAGGCACUCCUAUCCAGAUUACAUUUACUUACAUUUAUCUCAUUUAUACACCUGAACAGUCGAGGGCUAAGGGCCCAACAGUGGCAGGCUGGCAGUGCUGGGAUCUGAACUCAACCUUUCAAGCAGUCUUAACCACUGAAAUUUAAUCCCUAGGCCUAAUACAAUCGGUAGACUACAUAUGAAACUUUGAGUAGAUCCUGUGUUAAUACAGAUGUUAUCAUGUGCAUGCCACACGAGGCUCUACAUUGAAACACACCAUCCCUACACAGGAUCUGUACAAACACGUGGCCGGCCUCACAAAGCCUGCUUGAAUAACAUUAAAUACAUUUAAAAGCAAACCUAGCUGCAUCACAUGCUCCUGGAAAGUAAACACGUGAUCAUUAACGCGAAUGAAUUUCACAUUUGUCUUACUUAAAAUAACGUCUGACUGAAAAGAAGCAGCUCUCACCUUACCCUUCCAACGGAGAGACGAGAAAGACCACGUUAAGGAACUCUUCCAAAAGAGACACGAGGAAGAAAUGAAUUGUGGGUCGUGCGCAUGCGCACACUGGCCGUAGCCUCAAUACAGGUUUAUUACAGGACAUUGGAAAAGUUCCAACAUAUCUGCCUUGUUUUUCUGUUCAUGUUGACGUCGUGUGAAAAUUAUAUAUUUUUAUAAAGAGUUAAACUUACAUGAAUAAUGUAACGUUACACGAACACAUAAUUCAGGAUUAAUACCACAACGAAAUCCAAAUUUUGCGACUCUGUAAUCCUCGCUGAUUCCUUGUUCA